GGGGCUGUAACGGUUUCGACGUACUGACGAAAGUCACUUUGUGAUACAGGCCGAGAGUGAGUCACCUCUCGUAAAUCCAGGCUCAAAACAAAAGUAAGUGCGAAUAACAUCGUUCCUUUUGCUCGCAAGCAAGCAGCAGUAGCUGUAGCUUAAAAACUCUUUCGCGAGCGUUCACGGUCUGACUCCGUUAAGGGCUGUGGACCUAACCCCAACGGAUGCGCUAAUGUAUUCCCUCUGGUGAAUCCAUUAGCAAAGACCUUUACCAGAGCAUCCUAUUCUCAGGGAUAAAUGAGAGA
rnacentral:tmRNA from 1 species